AGUUAACAAUACAAAUAUGGUAGCAUUUUUCAGCCUGUUACUUACUGAAUGCGAGUCAUUGGCAUUUUUUCAGUCGGUUAACAAACAGUUUCUCAGUUAGUUAACAAAUAGCAACACUUCAGAAGCUUUUUUGAGAUAAGCUACAGAGAUAAGCAGCAGUUUUUCAAUCAGUUAACAAACAGCAGCACAACAGUUUUUCAGUCACCUGAUCGCUAUCCAAUUUUUCCUCGCUUGUUGCAGGUCACCAUUGUAUUCGACCUGGGAAGCUACAUACAGAUUUUCAUCUAUGAUAUUUCAGCAUCUUCUAUGCUUCCAAUCUGUUAAUUUAAUUUUACUUAUAAACGGCACAACCUUCCCUUCUCCUUUUUCGUGUGUAGAAUUGAUGAUUGAUGUAGUUUCACUGAAUCAAAAUACUGAUGCCUUUUCCCUUCUCCUUGACAGCUUUGCGAGAGCUAGGAAAGUAAUGGUGGACUCUCAUGAAGAAGAGAGACAGAUAAUGUUUGAGGUGAAUUCCUUCACCUGCCCUGCUUAUGGGAAAUUCUGCAAUGAUGCCUAGCGGUACACCACUCUCAAGUCUGAGAUGAAUUCCUUCAACAGAGGUUCUCCUUCGUGAGCUACGUCAGCGCUCAGAAGGCAUACAUUGAAGCCCUUGACGGCUGGUUGUCCAAGUUUAUCCUAACAGACACCAUUUGUUACUCCCGGGGGAUAUCCUUGAUUGCGCCCGACAGGGCCGGCACACCGCCCCUGGUGGUGAUCACGAGUGGCACACCAUGCUGUCGACGACUGGAUCGAUCCUCCGCACUAGUGAGUCUGGCAUAGGACUUGGCGAUGGGGAGAGGUUGUUCAGCGCUACGGAGAGCUGGUGCCAAAAACUAACUGUUGAUGUGGAAUUAGAUUUAUUAAAUAAUUAUCAGUUUGACUUAUUCGCUUGUAUUCAAACUGUACUGCAUUUUUGUUUGAGUACUGUUUUUUUCAUGUUCAUGAUAGUUCUAAUAUACUGUGCUUCUCAUAAUUUGGGUGGGACUUUUUAUAGAGGUAAUCUUUGGUAUUAUUGAGUGGUUUUCAACUAAUUUGUGAAAGCAAUUGGUUUCGUUUUCCUUAAUCAGAUGUAGAAUUUGCAAAGCGAUGCAUAUAUUCUGAAAUGUAUCUAUCUAGCUGGUCUUAGUUUUAGUUAGAUAAAUUUAUGUUCAUUGAUCCUGAGUAUAAUGGCUUCGUUCUUUUGUCCUGCUGUAAGCAAUUCUUUAUUGCGUGGAGUUUGUCAGUAUGAUUACUUGAUGAAUUUGGUUAUUUUUCAACAGAUAGCUGAAGAAGAUUAGGUGAUUUGGCAAUUCAAUUGCUGAAAAUGUUGCAUGCAAUGGAGAGUCAUAUAAGUGUGCUUGCAGUGUCUACUAUUGAUUCUAUGCAUCGUUCAGUUCAAAAGAGUAUAGGACAUAUGCAAGCGCUUCUGACUGCUAAAGUUUCUAAUUCAGAAUAAGGAGCAAGGCACUCGGUUGUAGUUCAGAUCAUAGGCUUGCUAUGACUCUCUUUUGCGAUUCAAAAUUUUAGUCCAGGAAUCUUGGCUUCUUGUCGGGUCUCUGCAGUAAAGUCUCAUUCAUCAUCAUCAACAGAUGAUUUCAUUUUGUGUAUGCUUGAGUUUAGAAAUUUUUGUCUCACUGUCCAUCGUCGACGUACCGUCCAUGAGAGUUGUUCAUAUAAGUCUACUGAUAAUAUCUCCGAUUUAUUUCAAUAAUGUACAUUUCCAGCAAUGCAUUUCUGUUGGUCCUAUAACUA